UUGCCCAUUUAAGACUCAAAAAUGUCUUAAGUGUCAAACACAGGGGGGUAGAAGAGUUCUCUCAUAAACCUAAAGUAAAGGCUGUCACCUUACUUUGGAUCCUGUCGGGAGAAACACUU